GCAGAGCCUACCGGUUGACGUCUCAAUCGCGUUGUGCUUGUUUUGGCCAACAGAGGGGGCUGCUCGCUAUAGCAGCUUCAUUCACUCUUCUUCUACUAACUACUUGCUCGCGAUAGUUUUAGAAAAAACUGCAGUGGAAAACUCGGACAGAAGCUAGCAAGUGUCAGGUGAAUCCACAACAUCACCACAAACGUCUUUUCAAGCCAGACUACCAGGACCACUGAAUGGCUGUUCAGAUCAGUUCUACACAGACUACCAGGACCACUGAAUGGCUGUUCAGAUCAGUUCUACACAGACUACCAGGACCACUGAAUGGCUGUUCAGAUCAGUUCUACACAGACUACCAGGACCACUGAAUGGCUGUUCAGAUCAGUUCUACACAGACUACCAGGACCACUGAAUGGCUGUUCAGAUCAGUUCUGCACAGACUACCAGGACCACUGAAUGGCUGUUCAGAUCAGUUCUACACAGACUACCAGGACCACUGAAUGGCUGUUCAGAUCAGUUCUACACAGACUACCAGGACCACUGAAUGGCUGUUCAGAUCAGUUCUACACAGACUACCAGGACCACUGAAUGGCUGUUCAGAUCAGUUCUACACAGACUACCAGGACCACUGAAUGGCUGUUCAGAUCAGUUCUACACAGACUACCAGGACCACUGAAUGGCUGUUCAGAUCAGUUCUACACAGACUACCAGGACCACUGAAUGGCUGUUCAGAUCAGUUCUACCCAGACUACCAGGACCACUGAAUGGCUGUUCAGAUCGGACAGUUCUGUCUUGUCUGUAGUGUUUCUGUAACAGUUGUUUUCUCUAUCACAGUGUUAGACUCAAUACAUGAAACCGGAAUUGUCCCCCCUUUUUAUUUCAUAGAUAUUAACAUUGGAUAUUUUAAUUAUAUAUUGACCGCAGAACUGGAAAUGUCCCUGGUUUUCAUUUCAGAAAUCUGGUCACCUUAGGUUAAAGAGCUAUUGAAUUUAGAAAAUUUGAUUUGUUAUUAUGUUGACGGUCCCUAACUGCUGUUGGUGGACAUAAGGAAAACUACAUGCGAAUAUCCGUCAAAUAUCAAACCUGAAACUGUCUUUACCUCGGUGCGAAUUGGUUAGGUUACUAAUGUUUACUCAUCUGAUGUUGUAGCUGUCUGACUUUAUUAGCAAAGCUAAUUUUCACACCAUAAACUCAUUUAUUUGACCAGAUAAAUUGGCUAAUGUUACUCAACAUUUCUCUGCCGAGCCAAUGUCCAUCACAAUUUCUCCCUCACCUCAAACUUUCCAAAUACCAGUAGGUUUCGGUUACAGCUCAUGAAGUACGCUUUGUCACCUUCUCACCCUGGUCAGGCUUAUCACCUAACGUUAUCGUUGGUGCUGUAACUAGUGAUUGGCUGUCUCUUCUUUCUUCCAUUCUGUUAUGUAAACGAUUGGCGGAGCCUUGCAUACAGUCAGUAUUGCUACAAACGCGGUUUACUCGUUCGCUUAGACAGCUGUGAUCCAAACCACCCCCCAAAACUUUUUUCAUCGGAUCUACACGAAUCACGUAGGUCACCUAUUUUGGAUUCAAAACGGCGAAUUACACCAAAAGGUGACUAGUUUGCAUCCCUGCAGGAUUCAGUUUAUUACAGUCAAUGAGUUGAGGACAGUUUGAGUGUGUUUCUCCAUCCUUGUAGUGGAUCAUCAGGAAAGCUAUAUAUAUACACUCAUUAUACUGCACUUCACACAGCUCAGAGAUCACCAUCAGAUCAAUGGUCCAUACACACUCAGGUUGUACAACUGAUGUUCAUUGCAUUUGGGGAACACCCGAGUCAGGUGAUAGGUGACUAUUCCGGUAAAGAGAGAUUCGUUAAUUUGUUCAAAUUGUAGCCGAGUCAAGCCAGUUGUACAAGUUGGUACCUGGUAGAAAUACAUAUUUGAGGUAAAAUAAAUCAAGUGAUGCAGCCAAAUCAAAAUCAAAUCAAAUCAAAUUUAUUUGUCACAUACACAUGGUUAGCAGAUGUUAAUGCGAGCGUAGCGAAAUGCUUGUGCUUCUAGUUCCGACAAUGCAGUAAUAACGAACAAGUGAUCUAACUAACAAUUCAAAAAAAAACUACUGUCUUAUACACAGUGUAAGGGGAUAAAGAAUAUGUACAUAAAGAUAUAUGAAUGAGUGAUGGUACAGAGCAGCAUAGGCAAGAUACAGUAGAUGAUAUCGAGUAUGUAAACCAAGUGGCAUAGUUAAAGUGGCCAGGUCACACCUGUGGAAAAAUAUGGUCCAAAGGCCCCAAAAAUGUUGCCAUGGUAACGUGGGCAGGUGCGUGGUCUGGGUGGUGUGUGCUGGGUUGGUCUUAGAAUUCAUAGGGACUGGGGGGGAGAGCAGGGUGGGUCCUCCCACCAUUGAUAUCAUAGGGACAGGGGGGGAGAGCAGGGUGGGUCCUCCCACCAUUGAUAUCAUAGGGACUGGGGGGGAGAGCAGGGUGGGUCCUCCCACCAUUGAUAUCAUAGGGACUGGGGGGGGAGAGCAGGGUGGGUCCUCCCACCAUUGACAUCAUAGGGACUGGGGGGGAGAGCAGGGUGGGUCCUCCCACCAUUGAUAUCAUAGGGACUGGGGGGGAGAGCAGGGUGGGUCCUCCCACCAUUGAUAUCAUAGGGACUUGGGGGGAGAGCAGGGUGGGUCCUCCCACCAUUGAUAUCAUAGGGACUGGGGGGAAGAGCAGGGUGGGUCCUCCCACCAUUGAUAUCAUAGGGACUGGGGGGGGAGAGCAGGGUGGGUCCUCCCACCAUUGAUAUCAUAGGGACUGGGGGGGAGAGCAGGGUGGGUCCUCCCACCAUUGAUAUCAUAGGGACUGGGGGGGAGAGCAGGGUGGGUCCUCCCACCAUUGAUAUCAUAGGGACUUGGGGGGAGAGCAGGGUGGGUCCUCCCACCAUUGAUAUCAUAGGGACUGGGGGGGAGAGCAGGGUGGGUCCUCCCACCAUUGAUAUACAAUAUCAAGUGACGCAGCAGUGGAUAGUUGAAGAGGUCUGUCUCCAGUACGCACUACCACCACUUCUCAAACAGUAUCCUGUCCUGGGAUAGGCCUAAACUGAGCAAGGUCUGGACCACGCUCUCUAUCAUAGGUGGAGGGCCACACAGGUAACACAGCAGUGUUAGGGUCGACGUGGCGACGCAACUCCCAACCUCUGAUAGCCUCCCACCUGUGGAAGAUCAAAUCAACAUUUAUUUAAAAAAUCAAAUAAAAACACAUGGAAAAUGUACUUUCAUGUAGUGGUGUCAUUUUAUGGGCUAGCAUCCAUUUAAAUGAAUUGGGAAUGUAUUUUUUAACAGCCAAAUGAAACAUCCAGUUAAUAAACCAUCUUUAGUUUCAUUUCCAACCCA